rnacentral:rRNA from 1 species
UACGGAGGGGGCUAGCGUUAUUCGGAAUUAUUGGGCGUAAAGGGCGCGUAGGCGGCCCGGUAAGUCAAAGGUGAAAUCCCCGGGCUCAACCCGGGAACUGCGUCCGAUACUGGCAGGCUUGAAUCCGGGAGAGGGAUGCGGAAUUCCAGGUGUAGCGGUGAAAUGCGUAGAUAUCUGGAGGAACACCGGUGGCGAAGGCGGCAUCCUGGACCGGUAUUGACGCUGAGGCGCGAAAGCCAGGGGAGCAAACGGG